rnacentral:lncRNA from 1 species
CACAGCCACACAAACACUGCCGCCCCCCUCCGGAGCACAGGAAGGAAUGAAGAAGUUCCACCUGAGCCUCCCAACCACACUGGCUUCCUUGUGGUCCCAGCUGUCUAGAUGUGUUCUGAAUUUUAAAGGUGCGAUAACAAGAAUAUAUUUCCUCUGAAUCCAGAAGUCAGCCUGGGUCCUUGAGGUGACCUUGUGGUCUACUUUCUAGAGUCUAACUGCAGGAUGGCUCUACUCAGCAUGCGGUUACAUCAUGGAGUUCUUAGUACCGCAUCGGUCCUCCUCCACGGCAUCUGCCUCUGUGCUGCUUCCAGCCCGGUCUUCCCGUCCGUCUGCAGUGGCUUGCUUCUCAUCCAUGCCUUUCCAGACCUCUCCCAACUCACCCUUUGUUUUGUUCUUUUAUCUACCCUUGUCAUCCAGAGCACUUAGCUGCCGGUUCUGCUUUUAUAAAUAUUUUUAAAAAAAUAAACCCCUUCAUU